UGGUAGCAAGACAGCGAGUGCUUAGCUGCUGCAGGAAUGCACGAUAGGACAGAGUGUAAUAUCAUUUACAUAAAUCCAAAAGUGAGAUAGGCCCUUCUCAGCCAAUGAGGAAGAAAAGGUCACUGCCACAAAGUGCACACAUUUAGUCACUAUAACCUGAAGAAGAGCUCUGUGGAGCUUGAAAGCUUGUCUCUCCCACCAACAGAAGUUAGUCCAAUAAAAGACAUUACUUCACGCACCUUGUCUCUCUAAUAUCUUGGGGCCAACACAGCUACAACAUUGCAAACAACUAAGACCUAGACAUGAGACUUAACAUUUAACUGCCCAAGCCCAUGCUAUACAACAUCAAGCCAUUUUUAUUGCUACUGUUUCCUUUCUGAUAUACAACAGUGUUUCCAUGAUGGUUCCUGGGUACUGCUCCAGAGUCUGUCAGGGACUAAUUGUCAUGUCUUAGCAAAUUCCUUUUAGGUUAGGAGGAAGUUUUCCUAAUGCCUUGUUUCUCUGAAUUGUACUUCGAUACUUUGCACUUACAUAGUACCUUUCACCUAACAGUCUCAAGCCAUGUUACUUAGGUGAAUAACCAUUAUUGCCAUUUCACAGAUGGGGAAGCCAAAGUACAGGAAUCAGUACCUAGACCUCUUGGCUCCCACUCCCUUGCUCUUACUGUUAACUAAUGCAGCCUCCCUGGAGCUGGGAAGUCAAAGAAAUCCAAAGGAGGUCAAUGAGCAAUAGUUUUCUGCAUGAUGGCACAAAAAUGCUAUACUGGGGCAGUUAAGUCGAAUUUACAAGCUUCUUUGCCGAAAUGGGAGAGUCAUUGUUAUACAAGAGGAACAAGCUGUAGAAAUAUCCUUUAGCAGAA